rnacentral:lncRNA from 1 species
UGCAAUAAAUUUUUGAUGCCUGAUAUAAUUUUUUUUUCUUUUUGAAAGAUAGGUAGCAUGUUACCUGUUUCGUUUAUUUCAUUUAGAAAUAAACUUAGCUGAAAAUGUGAAUCAACUAGAAUUCGAACUUGGGAUCUCAGGUACCAACCAUCAAACCUUUUGCCACUUGCGCUAGGAACGAUCGGUGCCUGAUAUGUUAAAGUUAAUAUCUAAUAGCAUAGAUAUAUAUGAUUCACAGUGUCUAA